GGACGAACGCUGGCGGCGUGCUUAACACAUGCAAGUCGAGCGGUAAGGCCCUUUUCGGGGGUACACGAGCGGCGAACGGGUGAGUAACACGUGGGUGACCUGCCCUCAGCUCUGGGAUAAGCCUGGGAAACCGGGUCUAAUACUGGAUAUGACUCCAUGACGCAUGUUGUGGGGUGGAAAGCCUUGUGCGGCUGAGGAUGGGCCCGCGGCCUAUCAGCUUGUUGGUGGGGUGANGGCCUACCAAGGCGACGACGGGUAGCCGGCCUGAGAGGGCGACCGGCCACACUGGGACUGAGACACGGCCCAGACUCCUACGGGAGGCAGCAGUGGGGAAUCUUGCGCAAUGGGCGAAAGCCUGACGCAGCGACGCCGCGUGAGGGAUGACGGCCU
rnacentral:rRNA from 1 species